AUAUAAUGUAGAGAGUGGUGGUUC
rnacentral:siRNA from 1 species